CCCUUGGUGGUCUAGUUGGUUAUGGCGUUCGGCUGUAAUUGUUUAAUUGUUUCAAUAAUUAGUUGUUUACCGAAAUGUCACCGGUUCGAUUCCGGUCCGAGGGA